GGGUGUACAGCUCAGCGGUAGAGCGCAUGCUUAGCGUGCAGGAGGUCCUGGGUUCAAUCCCCCGUGCCUCCG
rnacentral:tRNA from 1 species